CAGUAGCGUAUACUAAUGUUGCUGCAGUUAAAAAGCUCGUAGUUGGAUUUCUGGUGGUUGAUUUUGGUCCGCUACUUUUGUAGAUGAGUAUCAUUUUUCAACUAUCAUCCUAAUUGGUUUGUCGGGUUCACGCUCGAUUGAUCAGUUUCUUUUACUUUGAAAAAUUAGAGUGUUUAAAGCAGGCUUGCGCAAUGAAUACAUUAGCAUGGAAUAAUAAUAUAGGACUACAGGUUCUAUUUUGUUGGUUUCUAGACCUGAAGUAAUGAUUGAUAGGGAUAGUUGGGGGUGCUAGUAUUGAGUGGCCAGAGGUGAAAUUCUUGGAUUCACUCAAGACUAACUUAUGCGAAAGCAUUCACCAAGGAUGUCUUCUUUAAUCAAGAACGAAAGUUGGGGGAUCGAAGACGAUCAGAUACCGU
rnacentral:rRNA from 1 species